GUACAUCUAAUUUAAAUACUGACUUCCUUGCCAAAAAGAUCAUACCAUCAAAGGAUAAGAAUAUUUUGCCAAAGGUUUUCCAUUAUUAUGGCCCUGCUUUAGAAUUUGUGCAGAUGAUAAAAUUAUCAGAUCUACCCUCCUGCUAUAUGUCGGAUAUUGAAUUUGAGUUUACAGAGGAUUGACAAACAGUACCAAACAGAAUUCUAUGUUGCUGUUGGAGCAGAUUUCUUCUCUGUGUAGCAAGGUUGGUGCUCUUUUUGUAUUGCCAUGUACCAUUAGUAACAUACUGAUUCCACCUCCCAACCAACUCAGUUCAAGAAAAUGGAAGGAAUAUAUAGCUAAAAAGCCUAAAACAAUCAGUGGUAAGUAUUACAUGUUUCAGUUGUUUUAAUGAUGCAGCAUAGUUAAUGUAUGUAUCAAAUUUGAAGUGAAGAUAACAUUUCUAUAUGAGAAAACAGGAUUUCAUAUUAUUGCUACUGAUUACCAGGAGUCCACAUCAUUUUAAGAUUUUUAAUUGCAACCUACUGUAACAUAAAGUAUCUCUAACCAUAUUCAUUUAAAAUGCUAGUGAUCUAAAGGCAGAACUCUUGGUUCAUUAGAUAGCUAAUUAUACUGAACAUGGGUUUUUUAGAGACAUUUCAGGAAUCAAAUUUGUGAAAAGAGCGGUUCAUUUAUUAUAUGGUACAUAAAAAACCUGUGAUAAUUUUUUGAAGAAAUUAGUAGAAGUUAUUUAUUUAUUUAUUUAGAGAUAGAGUCUCGCUUUGUCACCCAGGCUAGAGUGCGGUGGCACGAUCUUGGUUCACUGCAACCUCCACCUCCUGGGUUCAAGUGAUUCUCCUGCUUCAGCCUCCCAAGUAUAUGGGAUUACAGGCACCCACCACCAUGCCUGGCUAAUUUUUAUAUUUUUAGUCGAGAUGCGGUUUCACCAUGUUGGCCAGGCUGGUCUCGAACUCCUGACCUCAAGUGAUCCACCUGCCUCCGCCUCCCAGAGUGCUAGGAUUACAGGCGUGGGCCACCGCACUUGACCUAAAGUUUUUUAUUUAACAGUUUAACUGUAUGUUACACAGUAUUCCAAGUAUUCUGUUUUAGAAAUAUUGAUUCAAUUAAUUUUUGUAAUAACCCCAUAUACUUAUUUUUAUCCCCAUUUUACAGAUGAAGGAAUUGGAGCUUAGAGAAGUGACAGAGCUAUUAAUUGGCAGAACCUACGGCUCUGUCACUUCUCCAAGGGUUUGAAUCUGUGCUCUUGUGCUCUUUACCACUACACUGUGUUUCCACUCUGUUCCUCUAGUAUGUUCAAGAUGUCUUUAUCCAAAUGAAAAUUUCUGUUAUAAAAUCAGAGAUUAAGUCCAAACCCUAGUAUUUCAUGAGGUGAUUCUGGCUUAGAAUGUUAAAAUUGCUUUCCCAAAGUCACAUUGGUGAAGUGUGUUCCAUCAUACUUUGGCCUUGAUGUGUGUUUUUUAAAUUGAACAAAAAUUGUUUACUUUUUUUUUAGCUUAUAGUUUUUGUGACCCAUAAUGUGAUGGGACUAAGAACUGUAAUUGAAACUAUUAUGAAGAAAUCUGUAGAAAUACUCCACAGGGCCCUUGAAUUUUGAGGAAUACAGUUUUAAAAUCAGUAGCUUAUACAGUACAGAUUUUCUAUUUUUCUGUAUAAGAAACAGGGGAGAUACUGAAUUCUAUUUUAGCAGAUGUUGAAUUUCAAAUGUAGGUAAGAUAUCUAUGUGGAAAUUUAAAUGUAGAGUUUGAAAUUUAGAUACAGAUCUCUAGGUAAUAGUCAGGGCUGGAGAUCUAGAUUUUGAGUUUAUCUAUUGCGUAAUAAGCCACCCCGAAACUUAGUGGCUUGAAAGAGCAAACAUUUUAUUUGCUUAUAGUUUUGCAGUCUGAGCUGCCCUCAGCAGAGUAGUUCUACUGAUCUCACAAGAGGUCAUUGAUGUGGGUGUUUUGAACUUGCAGAUGAUUUGGAGGCUGGGUUCAGUGGAGCUGGCUGGCUUUCUCUCUCCGUUUAGUCUUAGAGCCUUUUCCUUGCCACAUGGUCUUCUCAGAUGAUCUCUCCUGCAAGUUAGCUGGAAUUUUUCCAUGGUGGCUCAGGACAAACAUAUAGAACUUGAAACUACCAAGACUUUUUAAGGCUUAAUCCCAGGACUAGCCCAGUCUUACUUCUAUUACAUUCCGUUAUUUAGAGCUAGUUACAAGAAUAGUCUAAAUUCAAGGGGGAAGUACCUAUCCAAAGGUGUGAAUAAUAGGAAGCCACCAAUGUAAAAAGUCUACCAUAGGUGCCUGUAAGUUAGGAAUGUAGAAUGUUAGUUAGGAAUGGUUGAAAACAACAAUACAUAAAGAACAUGGCUAGAGAAGAGAGCCAAGGAUAGGGUCUUUAGAAAUACAGUCAUCCCUCAGUAUCCACUGGGGAUUGGUUCCAGGACCCCUGUGGAUAACAAAAUUCCUAGAUGCUCAAACCCCUCAUAUAAAAUGGAGUAGGAGUUGCAUAUAACUUCUGCACAUCCUCCUGUAUAUUUUACAUCAUCUCUAGAUUACUUAUAAUGCCUGAUACAAUGUAAAUGCUAUGUAAAUACUUGUUAUGCUAUAUUCUUUUUUUAAAUUUGUAUUCUUCUUGGUUAUUAAUUUGUUAUUUUUAAAUUUUUUUUGGAAUAUUUUCAAUUCGUGGUUGGUUGAAUCCACAGUGUGAAACCCAUGGAUGUAGAGGCAAAUUGUACCUGCAUGUAAGGUGAAAGUGGAGAAAAGUUAGGAAAUGAUAUGGUAAAUGGUCUUUGGAAGACCCUAGCAAGUUAUCGUUAACAUCAGCAUUAAAAUACCAUUUAUACAGAGCGUGGUGCAAAGUGUGGGAAAUAAAGGAGCAUCAAACUGGGUUUUUACACUUAAGGAAGUAGAUUCAUUGUCUUUUUCGCUGUGUAAUUUAAACUCAAGUGAGGAAUGUACCUAGGACAAUAAUUAUAAGUCUGUUUGGCCAACAUUGUGAAGGCAAAAUGGAAGGUACUUCCAGAAUGUAUGACCUAACAUAGCCUUAAGAGCUCAAGAAAAGUUUCCUAUAGGAGGAGACAUUAUUACUGUAACUUACUGCACCAUACUAAUACAUGAAUAAGUGCAGCUUUUAACCCUUCUCAUCUCACAGGGAACAAAUAUAUAUUUGGUAAUUUUGGCACUUGCUAAAACAAAAUCAGAAAUAGAUUUUCUGAGUGGCAAUAUAGUCAAUUUCGCUUAUUCUACAUAUAGUCAUGGGAUAAUACUGAUCCAUUUCUCAGCUUUACAUAUGUCUAAAAUUGAUUAGACAUAUGUAGACAUAUGCAAUCAGUUAAUCAUAAUAUUAACAUCUCCUUAAUAAACUUGAGUGUAUUUGGCAACCCA
rnacentral:sRNA from 1 species